rnacentral:lncRNA from 1 species
UGUGAGGAUGUCAGGAGAAGCUGUUCAUCUGCAAGCCAGGAAGCAGGCCCUCCCCAGACAGUGGACCUGCUGGUACCUCGAUCUUGGACUUCCCAGCUUCUAGUACUAUGAGAAAUAAAUGUGUGUUGUUUAAGUCACCCAGUCUUUGGUAAUGUGUUGCAGCAGCCUGAACUGACUAAGACACCAUCUUGUUUCUGAAGUCUUAUGACUCCCUACCACUUCCAGGGACCUGCCAGCUCCACUGAUAAUUGUGAAACACUGAAUCCUUACCAAAAAAGGAAUGCUUCCAGGAAAAUGUCAUAUGGUGUGUUUGAUAAUUUGGGACUCAGGCUUAGAUAUGGAGUCUAGAUAUGUCCGCCAGGCUGGAAUGCAGCAGUGUGAUCUCGGCUCACUGCAACCUCUGCCUCCCAGGUUCAAGCGAUUCUCCUGCCUCAGCCUCCCAAGUAGCUGGGAUUAUAGUCUAGCUGUUCUCAGCGUCAGGUGACUCUGCUCCUUGAAAGUACAUUUAAGUGAUGCCAUUCCUGUCCAAAACCAUCACUGACUCCUUCUUCAGGGGCAAGCCUUGAAAUCAUGUGCAUUUGCCUGUGAGACGUUUCUCCGAUUAUCUGAAAAUCUUCUGCCAGGGAUAAGGCGAUUUGUCUCCAUUCUGUCUGAGGUUGUGGAUCUUGGUUUGCAGAGGAGGGCUGCAACAUAGUAGGUUCCUCCACGUGGCUUCUCACUGAAGCCAGAAUGACUCAUUUAGAGAGUAAUCUUGGUGCUGCCUCUUUCUGCCCUCUGGUGGAGAGAACGGGUAUUGAACAAGCCAUAACGACUGAUCUCUGAGGCAAAUGCUGUAAAGUGUCAGCGCAAAGGUACACGGGGAAUAAUUACACUUCAAGCUAUUAUCUAAAUGAACGGAGUUCAUCUAAAUGAAUGGAGUUGGAACGGUUGCUCUAUGAGAAUAUGAUUUCUCAGCAACAGAAGCUUUAAUUCCAUCCCCUUUUUAUUUCUGUUUGCUGAGAACUGGUUUCUCAUUUCUCCACACUUGCUCUUCCUUUUCGUGAACAAUCAUAUUGUGUAUUUUGAGAUAAUUAUAAAAUUCUUGUACGCUCAUUUUAAAACAUUUCCAGAAAGUGAAAGUCAGCAUGUGACCCAGGAAAAUUCUAAUUCUUAAUACUCUCGAGAUUGUAAACUAGGGUUUAGACCUAUGUAUUCAGAUCAAAUUCCACACCAAAAUUCAUUUCAGAAGUUUAAAUAAAACGUAUUAGUCUUA